GGAGGCGGAAGGCGACUCGGACCUGGGCGCCCGGCCCAGGGCGGUGUGGCUGAGCGGCUGCCCCAGCCCCAGUCUGGGCCCGGCCUCUCGCCUCUUGCCUUCGGCCUCCCGCCUCCCGUCCCGGGCGGGCUGCGCGGCACCGACCCGACGGCGGCGGGCGGGGCAGGGGAGGCACGGGGAAGAAAUAGAACCCCAACCUCGCGGACCCGGGCCCGGCCCGCGGGCUCGCCUGCCUCUCCUGCCCAGCAGAGCACCCGGAGCGGUACCGGCCCAGCGGCCGCUCUCCGCGACUUGGGCCUCUCGUCCUCUGACGCGCCUCCCGGGCAGGGCCGAGGUCGGGGCCGAGGUCUCCCACUAGAGGGCCACGAUCUGCCUACGCGGCUGUGUCGCCCUAGCGGAGGGCGAGCGCCUCAGGAGCUGAGACGGCGUCCUCUUCCCUCAGAUCUGGCACUAGUGGAGCCUAGUAGGCAGCUAUGUGAAAGGUAGCAGAGGGGGCAUGGGCCUGGCGCUUACUAGGUGCGCCCUCAAUGUUGGGUCAUUGCUAUAUCUAGAGACCUGCACGAAGGCCCGGAGGAAUGGAGCCUCUGGAGGAACCGUGAGACCCGCGGUGAACAGAGUUGAAGGCCUGGCAACGGGUGCCUCCCAGGGUAUAGACGGCGAGACCUCCGAGUUACAGGGGAAGCUAGGACUGUGCAAGGUGAGAACGGAGAGGUGGGCAGAUGGCCCAGAAGGUGACCAGCAGGACCUUCCAAGAGCCCAGCGUACCUGGAGACAGGCGGAAUUAAGGCAACAGCCAGUUUGAGAUACACACUGAACUUCAAACAAGUCUAGACUACCACCUGCAGACUACUGGAGACAACUUUUUAUUUGAAUGAACAGAAUCGUGGACUAAAAUGAAAGAGAAAAUAAUGUAUCGGGAUUGUGGCAAUACAUAGAAGCCAUGGGACAGGAAGUAUUAUUAUCCCUUUCUGUAAAGGUUUGGAACCAGGGAAAAGAUGAAAACGUCAACUUUAUCACCAAUAAAGCAGAGCUGAAAAAUGUCUUGGAUGAUGACCAAUAGGCUUUUAACUAUUCUUUGAAUUAAAAUAUUCUCCCCCCAAAAAUUCAACCUCCACUUGGCAGAGACCUAGUAACUUGAACCAUGUCUGGUUAAAGAAUAUUGUACUCUCUCUAAGGACAGGCAGACCCAAGUCAAUUAGGAAGUCACUCCUGGAAGAACCAGGACAAAUUCUCCUCUACCUGCCCUCCUCGGGGGGGAAAAAAAAAUAGGGAAUAAGGAUUUAGCUCUGCCCAAACAAUUUGGAUCUGGCCCAGUAGUUGGUCAGUUAACUAGUAAAGUAUAUUAAAGCAGUGAAUUAUUAAAAGUGGCAAAUAAAAACCUUAACACUUCAGAAGUUCCCUUCAUGGCUCAGCGGUUAAUGAACCCGACUAGUAUCCAGGAGGAUGCGGGUUUGAUCCCUGGCCCUGCUCAGUGGAUUGGGAUCCAGCGUUGUCGUGAGCUGUGGUGUAGGUCACAGACGGGGCGGCUCAGAUCCCAUGUUGCUGUGGCCACUGUGUAGGCCAGCAGUUAUAGCUCCGAUUCAACUCCUAGCCUGGGAACAUCCAUAUGCUGUGGGUGUGGCCCUAAAAAGGAAAAAAACCUUAAUAUUUCAUUUUUCACUUCAAGUCUAUAACGCCCACUUGCCAAGCUUUUUUUUUUUUUUUUUUUUUUUUGGCUACAGCUACAGCCUAUGGAAUUCCCUGGCCAGGGAUUGAUCCCAGGUCACAGCAGCAGCCUGAGCCACAGCAGCAACAACACCAGAUCCUUAACCCACUGUGCCAUCAGGGAACUCCACUGCCAAUCUUUUGAUAUGAUAACAAAUUUGAGCAAGAGUGGUGGUUAGAGCUCUUGAUCUAUCUUACAUAAUAUAUUUUCUAUGCUUUCCAAGUUAUUUCUUGAAAGUUGACUGAGGCCUUAAGACCUCUUGCAAAGCAACAUAACUAGAGGCUCCUUCUCUUUUGGAGGGCCAUGCGCACAAUAUGCAGAAAUUCCCUGGGCCAAGGAUUAAACCCAAACCACAGCAGUGACAACACUGAAUCCUUAACCACUAGGCCACCAGGGAACUCCUAGAGGCUCCUUCUCUAUCUUAUUUUUAUUUUUUGCUUUUCGGGGCCGAACCCUCGGCAUAUGGAGGUUUCCGGACUAGGGGGCCAAUCAAAGCCUACUCCAGAGCCACAGCAACAUCAGAUCCGAGCCUCGUCUGUGAACUACAUCACAGCUCAAGGCAACACCAGAUCCUUAACCCACUGAGUGAGGCCAGUGAUCAAACCCGCAAUGUCAUGGUUCCUAGUCGGAUUCAUUUCUGCUGCACCACAACGGGUGGCUCCCUCUUUAAAAAAAAAAAAGUUAUUUGUAAUUGUCUCACCCACAUCUGGUUUGACAGUAAUUUUCAACUGUCUUUAGCUCAUAUUUCCAAAGCAUUCAACUGACAUUUCAUAGACACAACUCUUUCAUGCUUAUGUCUCAUCAGUUUAUGCAAUUUUAAUUAAAUUAAUUAUACUCUGGCAAACAGCUAUCAUAAGCAGUUUUGGGACCAAACACAACAGACUCUUGUUAGAUAUCUAACUCAACUGGUAGGAAAAGGUGUGUGGAUGUUGCAGAGAUGGACUCACCAGUUCAAAGCAUUCUGCAGGCACUGGCAGUAAUCAAUACAUUUAUUUGGAGGUAAUGUAAAGUGUUGAUUCCAGAGAGUCCAUUAAAACAAGAUGAGUUAGGAGUUUCCUAGUGGCCUAGUAGACUAAGGAUCCAGAUUGUCACUGCUUGGGUCACUGCUGUGGCACAGGUUCAGUUCCUGCCUGGGAACUUCUCCAUGCCAUGGGUAUAGCCCCCCCCACACACACACACAAAUGGGUUAAUGCACGUACACUAGCAUAACCAACUCUGGGUGCAUAUAUCUUAACAUUCCUCUUCUAUCAUGUAUCCAUUUUAUAAAUGUUUAUUGAUAUUCAGGACAGUGCCAGGCACUAUAACAAGCCCUGAAGAAGCACAGCUCACUGAAGAGGAAGAAAUUGAUAUGGAAACAGGGUGAAGCAGCAGGAUGGAAAAGGAGGAAUUUUCAGGAGCAAAUCCCUUUACCUUCUCUCUAUUCGUUCCCCGCAAAAUUGCUGUCUCUCCAUUCCCAUUAGCUAAAAAAAAUGGCUUUAAAUAUCUUAUGGCUAUCACAGAGGUCUGAUGGUAAUCCCGCUUACUACAUUAGCAACAUACAUAUAUGCCUCAUGUACUUUCUGAGGCUAAUGAGAUGAUGCAGUUGGUCCAUUCAGAGAAAGCUGCAGCAAUGGGAAUUGGUAUAAUCCUCUUAAAAAGCAAUUUGACAGUAUUUCUGAAGAGCCUUAAUAGAGAUGUGACUCCCUUUUGACUCAUCAAUGCCACUCCUAGAAAAUUUUCCUUAAGAAAUAAUCCUCCCCAAAAGAGAAUGGCCACAUGCACAAUAUUUACUAUAACUUUACUUGUGAUGAAAGUUUGAAACAUAUGAAUGAUUAACUUAUUAUAUGCAACAUUGUAUAACUUUGAGUGCACAUGGCAUAAAAGAAGACAUUUGAUUAUAUAUUAAAUUUUAAAAGAUAUAAUUUGCUCAUCUUACUAAGAACAACUGAACUAUUUGUUUUUUGUUUUUGUAUGGCCGCACCUGAGGCAUAUAGAAAUUCCCAGGCUAGGGGUCCAAUAGGAGCUACAGCUGCUGGCCUACACCACAGC
rnacentral:lncRNA from 1 species